GGUGAAAAUGAUGAAUUCUGGGGUACUGAUUCAUGUGAUCUGAAAAAGCCAUCCAUUUCCUGAUUCACC
ensembl:snoRNA small nucleolar RNA, C/D box 123